GGGACUUUCCUGAAUGGAGCAAUUAACAUCGGUUGGAUGUCAAACCAGCUGGCAGACUGGGUGAUGCACCUGCUAUUGGACUGGCAAAUACAUUAGAGAGAUUACAGUUUAAGCUUGGUAGACUCAAAACAGGAACUCCACCGAGAAUAGCUAAAGACACUAUUGAUUUCUCAGUUUGCUUAACACAAGAACCAGA